UACGUAGGUGGCGAGCGUUGUCCGGAUUUACUGGGCGUAAAGGGAGCGUAGGCGGACUUUUAAGUGAGAUGUGAAAUACCCGGGCUCAACUUGGGUGCUGCAUUUCAAACUGGAAGUCUAGAGUGCAGGAGAGGAGAAUGGAAUUCCUAGUGUAGCGGUGAAAUGCGUAGAGAUUAGGAAGAACACCAGUGGCGAAGGCGAUUCUCUGGACUGUAACUGACGCUGAGGCUCGAAAGCGUGGGGAGCAAACAGGAUUAGAUACCCCGUACGU
rnacentral:rRNA from 1 species